AGUCUUGAGAUACAUGUCAUUUGUUUGCAGCAGAUAUGAAUGUUUGCUCAUAUUUAUGGUGCAGUAUAAUUGGUUCGAACAUAAAAGAAAACACUAUAUGAGUUUAGCGAAUCUGUGAUGUAUCUAGUGUGUCACUGUUCUGCAACAGAGUCUGUGUCAAGCACAUCUUGGUCAUCACAGGAGCUCCCGGGGCUGGAGCCGAAUUUGCAAAGCUUUUACACCACCAACAAAGUGCAUGAAGAAGAAUUUUGAAGAAAUAAGUCUGCAGAGGUCUGAGUCAAGACUGAAAAGAGCUUCAGCCGCCAUUCCAUAAGCACGGACAUUUGACCGAGUCAUCCAGGUUCGGCUUUCCGACACUCCAAGAGGGCAUGGAGGACUGUCAGCCUCUCACCGCAUCUACCACAGGUUGGAGGUUCACUUCCAGCAUCUGUUGUCCACACAGUUCUAAGCAAGGAUCCGGAACCAGGCCUCUCUUUCUUGUAAACAAAACACAAGAACUCUUAUGAGGAUUGAUUUUAAAUCCAUUUUUCUCUGCCCACCCUGACACCUUGUUCAAACCAUGCUGUACCUGUCUCUCGCACACUGCGAGGUUACAGGAUUCGAAACCUAUUUGGAUGUCGUCCACAUAGACGGAAUACAAAAUGGCCGGUGGUAAGGAAGCACGAAGUGUUGUCAUCUUAACAAUAAAGAGUGUGCAACUGAGCACGCCACCCUGGCGUA